GAUGAACGCUGGCGGCGUGCCUAAUACAUGCAAGUCGAGCGAACAGAUGAGGAGCUUGCUCCUCUGACGUUAGCGGCGGACGGGAGAGUAACACGUGGAUAACCUACCUAUAAGACUGGGAUAACUUCGGGAAACCGGAGCUAAUACCGGAUAAUAUAUUGAACCGCAUGGUUCAAUAGUGAAAGACGGUUUUGCUGUCACUUAUAGAUGGAUCCGCGCCGCAUUAGCUAGUUGGUAAGGUAACGGCUUACCAAGGCAACGAUGCGUAGCCGACCUGAGAGGGUGAUCCGCCACCCUGGAACUGAGACACGGUCCCGACUCCUACGGGAGGCCGCAGUAGGGAAUCUUCCGCAAUGGGCGAAAGCCUGACGGAGCACCGCCGCGUGAGUGCUGAAGGUCUUCGGAUCGUAGAACUCUGUUAUUCGGGAAGAACAAAUGUGUAAGUACCUAUGCACAUCUUGACGGUACCUAAUCAGAAAGCCCCGGCUAACUACGUG
rnacentral:rRNA from 1 species